UUGUAUUUUUAACAUUUUAGGGGAGAGUGAACUUAGUGAGAGGAGGCUCUCCCCUGGAAAGUUUUAUAUUGUUGUUGUCCUGAAGAACAGAUUUGCGGAUACAAUUUUAUAAGUUCGAGAGAAGACACUUGUUGAGGUCGAGAAUGGUGAUCCGGAGAAACUUCAUCGUGAAAGGGAACAACUUGAGAUGCAGAGGAGGAAAGCGAAAGCUAAGCUGUAAGCCGGAGACAAAGCUGCUGAAGAGGCUCAAAGACGUGCAGAAGUGGAAGUUGCAGCUGAGGCUAAGAGGAGGAGAGAGCGCGAUAGAGAAGCAGCAAGACAGGCAUUACUCCAGGUGAGUAUUAAAAGAUAUAUAU